rnacentral:rRNA from 1 species
GUGCAGCAGUCGCGAAAACUCCGCAAUACACGAAAGUGUGACGGGGUUACCCAAAGUGCUUAAUAUUUAAGCUGUGGUAAGUGUGUAAUGUACCUUACUAGAAAGGAGAGGGCAAGGCUGGUGCCAGCCGCCGCGGUAAAACCAGCUCUUCAAGUGGUCGGGAUAUUUAUUGGGCUUAAAGUGUCCGUAGCUUGUAUAAUAAGUUCCUGGUAAAAUCUAAUAGCUUAACUAUUAGUAUGCUAGGAAUACUGUUAUACUAGAGGGCGGGAGAGGUUUGAGGUACUUCAGGGGUAGGGGUGAAAUCCUAUAAUCCUUGAAGGACCACCAGUGGCGAAGGCGUCAGACUGGAACGCGCCUGACAGUGAGGGACGAAAGCCAGGGGAGCGAACCGGAUUAGAUACCCCCGUAGUCC